ensembl:snRNA U6 U6 spliceosomal RNA
GUGCUUGCUUCAGCAGCACAUAUACUAAAAUUGGAAUGAUAUAGAGAAGAUAAGCAUGGCCCCUGCACAGGGAUGACACACAAAUUUGUGAAGCAUUCCAUAUUUUU